rnacentral:rRNA from 1 species
GACGAACGCUGGCGGCGUGCUUAACACAUGCAAGUCGAACGGAAAGGCCCUGCUUUUGUGGGGUGCUCGAGUGGCGAACGGGUGAGUAACACGUGAGUAACCUGUCACUGACUUUGGGAUAACCUCAGGAAACUGGGGGUAAUCCCGGAUAGGAGCUCCUGCUGCUUGGUGGGGGUUGGUUGGUUUCGGCGGUUGGGGAUGGAAUCGCGGCCUAUCAGCUUGUUGGUGGGGUAGUGGCUUACCAAGGCUUUGACGGGUAGCCGGCCUGAGAGGGUGACCCGCCACAUCGGGACUGAGAUACGGCCCAGACUCCUACGGGAGGCAGCGGUGGGGAGGAUUGCACAAUGGGCGGAGGCCUGAUGCAGCAACGCCGCGUGCGGGAUGACGGCCUUCGGGUUGUAAACCGCUUUCGCCUGUGACGAAGCGUGAGUGACGGUAAUGGGUAAAGAAGCACCGGCUAACUACGUG